UACAGGGGGCUCGAGCGUUAGUCGGAAUCACUGGGCUUAAAGGGUGCGUAGGCGGCUCGUCAAGUGCUUUGUGAAAUCCCCGAGCUCAACUCGGGAACUGCGUCCGAUACUGGCGGGCUUGAAUCCGGGAGAGGGAUGCGGAAUUCCAGGUGUAGCGGUGAAAUGCGUAGAUAUCUGGAGGAACACCGGUGGCGAAGGCGGCAUCCUGGACCGGCAUUGACGCUGAGGCGCGAAAGCUAGGGGAGCAAACGGG
rnacentral:rRNA from 1 species